CCAAAGGCUCUUUUCAGAGCCAUCCACCAGUUCUCAGGAAGAACUG
rfam:Loxodonta africana unplaced genomic scaffold scaffold_108, whole genome shotgun sequence.